GCUUACGGCCAUACCAGCCUGGGUACGCCCGAUCUCGUCUGAUCUUGGAAGCUAAGCAGUGUCGGUCUGGUUAGUACUUGGAUGGGAGACCGCCUGGGGAUACCAUGUGCUGUAUGCA
rnacentral:rRNA from 1 species